GACGAACGCUGGCGGCGUGCUUAACACAUGCAAGUCGAACGGAAAGGCCCUUCGGGGUACUCGAGUGGCGAACGGGUGAGUAACACGUGGGUGAUCUGCCCUGCACUUUGGGAUAAGCCUGGGAAACUGGGUCUAAUACCGAAUAGGACCACGCGCUUCAUGGUGUGUGGUGGAAAGCUUUUGCGGUGUGGGAUGGGCCCGCGGCCUAUCAGCUUGUUGGUGGGGUAAUGGCCUACUAAGGCGACGACGGGUAGCCGGCCUGAGAGGGUGACCGGCCACACUGGGACUGAGAUACGGCCCAGACUCCUAUGGGAGGCAGCAGUGGGGAAUAUUGCACAAUGGGCGCAAGCCUGAUGCAGCGACGCCGCGUGAGGGAUGACGGCCUUCGGGUUGUAAACCUCUUUCAAUAGGGACGAAGCGCAAGUGACGGUACCUAUAGAAGAAGCACCGGCCAACUACGUGCCAGCAGCCGCGGUAAUACGUAGGGUGCGAGCGUUGUCCGGAAUUACUGGGCGUAAAGAGCUCGUAGGUGGUUUGUCGCGUUGUUCGUGAAAACUCACAGCUUAACUGUGGGCGUGCGGGCGAUACGGGCAGACUAGAGUACUGCAGGGGAGACUGGAAUUCCUGGUGUAGCGGUGGAAUGCGCAGAUAUCAGGAGGAACACCGGUGGCGAAGGCGGGUCUCUGGGCAGUAACUGACGCUGAGGAGCGAAAGCGUGGGGAGCGAACAGGAUUAGAUACCCUGGUAGUCCACGCCGUAAACGGUGGGUACUAGGUGUGGGUUCCUUCCUUGGGAUCCGUGCCGUAGCUAACGCAUUAAGUACCCCGCCUGGGGAGUACGGCCGCAAGGCUAAAACUCAAAGGAAUUGACGGGGGCCCGCACAGGCGGCGGAGCAUGUGGAUUAAUUCGAUGCAACGCGAAGAACCUUACCUGGGUUUGACAUGCACAGGACGCCGGCAGAGAUGUCGGUUCCCUUGUGGCCUGUGUGCAGGUGGUGCAUGGCUGUCGUCAGCUCGUGUCGUGAGAUGUUGGGUUAAGUCCCGCAACGAGCGCAACCCUUGUCCUAUGUUGCCAGCGGGUUAUGUCGGGGACUCGUAGGAGACUGCCGGGGUCAACUCGGAGGAAGGUGGGGAUGACGUCAAGUCAUCAUGCCCCUUAUGUCCAGGGCUUCACACAUGCUACAAUGGCCGGUACAAAGGGCUGCGAUGCCGUGAGGUGGAGCGAAUCCUUUCAAAGCCGGUCUCAGUUCGGAUCGGGGUCUGCAACUCGACCCCGUGAAGUCGGAGUCGCUAGUAAUCGCAGAUCAGCAACGCUGCGGUGAAUACGUUCCCGGGCCU
rnacentral:rRNA from 1 species